rnacentral:rRNA from 1 species
UACGAAGGGGGCUAGCGUUGCUCGGAAUCACUGGGCGUAAAGCGCACGUAGGCGGUUUCUUAAGUCAGGGGUGAAAUCCCGGAGCUCAACUCCGGAACUGCGUCUGAUACUGGAUGGCUUGAGUUCGGGAGAGGGAUGCGGAAUUCCAGGUGUAGCGGUGAAAUGCGUAGAUAUCUGGAGGAACACCGGUGGCGAAGGCGGCAUCCUGGACCGAUACUGACGCUGAGGCGCGAAGGCGUGGGGAGCGAACGGG